AAAAAAAUCAAUUUAUAUGCAAGUUAGAGUCGCUCUGCAGGCUUGAAAGAGUAUAAUAUUUUGGAUAAUCGGCUUUAAGGAAAAAAUACAAAUUACAAAAAUAUCUCCAAAAGAAAGUGUAUUUAAUUGCACAUAAAGUAGUUUAUGAUUAUUUCCUGUAAUUAAAGCCAUGAUUUGCUGGGGCUAAGCCUUUUUGCAGAUGAGUAAGGUAUUUUUGACUCACACAGUUCUCACUAAACCAGAAAAGCAGAGCACUUGCUGUAUUUAAAUGCACGGUCAUAGACUCAGCUUUUUAUAUAAUAUUUAAAUCCAACCCAAAUGUAAUUAGAGGCUUUUGUGUGAGAUCCGAAAGGGAUGUGAUAAGGCUGACUGCCUGGCCUCUUCCCCACCAUGGUGCAGACCCUGGUCAGAAAGCCCGGCUUUACUCCGGGGUUCUUUGGCUGUAGGGUCCCUAUCGUGAGAAGGACGUGGCAGCAGAAAGGGAGAGAACGCGUGGUGGCCCUGGAAGUGACAGUCCCACAGAGUCACACCAUUCCUGGCUCCUGCCUUCUCCUUCACUCCCUUGGAGCCUCAGGAAAGUCCACAAACUGAUGGUUCUCACUUCUGAAUAUUCUGUAAAUGGAUUACAGGCCUCACAUCUUCCUCCUGGGAUUCUCUAAAGGGAAUGAAUGCAUUGAUGGUAUUUCCUACUGCAAAGAAGAGGAAUUUCCCCUUGUGCAGUGAAGUAUACCAGUCUGAGCUGCAUCCUCUGCCUAAUUUCUUUAUUGGGAAGACUUUCCCAUGAAUAAAAUCUGGAAAAAACAGUUUAACACAGUGCUCUUGAUCACUAAGAGCCAAAACCUCUACUUACGCCCUGCAGGCCACAAAAUCUCCAGGAAAGGAAACCAGCAAGAUCCUUGGCCACAAAACCUCAAAAGCAGCUCAGACUCACUCCUCUUCCUUGUUCUCCAUGUUCAAAAAUCAGAUAUCCUGGGCAAAUUUACUCAUGAGUAAACAGGCCAUGAACACACAUUUAUUCUUUCUGUCCUUUAGCUAGAAUCAUUUCUAAGAAUUUUCAGUUCACACUUAAUACUACUCUUAUCCACCAAUUGCAGAGCAAGAUUCACUUCACAAAUAAGUUUAUAAAAGGAGAUCCGCAGUCACAACCAAAUUCUUUGCACAGUUAGUUUGGAUUUUGAGAAACUUCUGUGACCAAAGCAACGUACAGGGGCAGUGUGCUCAAAAUCAGUAGAGACAACAAGAAGGCAAGCUCUUCCACUUUUUUCCUCCAAAAUACAUAUAGCUUGAGUGGGUGUGGUUAACAAUCUUAAAGAUCAGUCAGAGUAUUUAGAAGAUAUACUACAGAGUAAGUUUUCUAUUCCAUACAUAUGCUUUCUUAGGGUAGAAACAGAAGUCAGACAUAGAAUCCUACUAGCAUUAAAAUUUAUAUUAAGUAAUGCUAACUAAUUAUAAACUGAAAUUUUAAUUACUUAUCCAAAUACAGUCCCCUCUCUAAAUCAAUACCAAGAGACUGCUGCCUUCAGAAGAUGUCAACAAAGCAGAAGCAGUUUAUGACCACUGGGUUAAAUAUUACUGCUGUGAAUUUAUAGUUUUGUUUCCUUCUGGAAAACAAAAACAAAAACUAAACAACUAAGAGAUGAGGAAUUGACUAAAUGUACAACACAUGUCAGCAAGAGGAAAAAUAAGCUGAAAUAAGAAAGAAUCUUUUCUCUAACACUUCUUUCUAAUGAUUUCAUCCAUC
rnacentral:lncRNA from 7 species